GACUAAAUAGCAAGGAACCAAACUCAACUGAAAAAAAAAAAAAAAAGUAAAAAAGUACUUCUCAGAUCAUUUAACAUGCCAGAAAUAAAUGGUUGCUACAUGACCAGGGUCCCCUUGGAUUAAUCUGGGUAUAUAGACAGGGUUGUAAUGCUCACUUUAUGAAUCAAAUCUUGAAUCUGCAAUUUUAAUUCUCAGUAGGAAAGAAUCUGUCAUGUUUUUCUCCCAGAAAUAUUAAGGACAUGCACUUUUCAUCCUGGCAUGCCAAAGGCUGCAACCCAGCAAGUCAAAGAGGAGAUGGACAUGAGCAUCACAUGUUCUUCUCUACUGGAGAAAAAGGGGAAAAAAAAAGGCUGCACUCAUCCUACUCAGACAGACUCUCGCUGACAACUCCUUAAGUUAAAUAUAGUCAUCUCAGUUUGAGUGUCUGCUGCACUGCAGCUGCUGCUAAACACCAUUUCCCUGACAUGGGUGUACAACUCACAGGCUGCAUCUGCGGGUGAGCCUGCAGCCAGCUUUGGGGAUGGCUUUCCCUGAUCUGAGGGCACUGGGGAAGUGACACAUAUGUGCAUACCCUUGCUGUGCUGGGCUAAGACAUGCUGAUUUGUCAUUUCACAACUAUUUGCUCAGUGGAAGCCAUCAGAUGCAAACUAAAGCCUUCCUGUUACUCCAGUAUUGUACAUCUUUCUGAAAACCAGCCGAGGAGAUUGAGCGGGUCCUCAGCUUUAAAGAGAAAGGCACUUGCUCUGUCCUCCUCCUCAGGAGGCCGGGAGAAAGGGAGCAGGAGCCAGUGCCAAGACAACAUGGGAACCGCACCCCAGUGGAGCACAGUGCCUGCCAGCAGCCCCUGCUCAGCUCAGACUGUGUGACCGCAGAGACAAGUCUCUACAAAGACAUCUUCACUUACAGUGGAGCUACAGCAGUGUCAGCAGUUAUUUUGCCAGCUCUGUUUAAAGAGGCUGGACCCCCUGCUAAAACCAGUCUGAUGAUGUAAACUUGGAUCCAAUGCCUCAAAAGUAUUUGCUUAGAUGUCUAAUCCAUAGUUAGAUGCCUACAACCUUUGAGGAGUUCCAUCUUCAACCAAGACCAUUUGAUAAAGAAACUCUAUAUUGUCGUGACAAUCAUUUAAUACUUAUUUUUCAUGGAUCUCAGUGCCUUACAGUUAUCUGCACAAGAUUCCCGAAAGAUAGGAAACUAUUAUCUCUGCUCAGAAAUGUGGUACUAGAACAUAUGGUAGGUCAGGUCCGUUGUCUAAAUUCACGCAGGAAACCUGUCUGAGCCUGGGUUUAGAGCCAGGUCUCCAGAGUCUCAGCCCACUGCACUAGAUGAUAGGCUGCCUUUCUCCUCUGGAAAUGUGACUGAAAACCCUCUGAAGCAAGAGACCUGCAUUGCUUGUCUAAUUGCAGCAGUAGGAAGAAAUUUAAAUGCUAGUCAGGGUCAGGCAAGGGGGAAAUUAUGAUUUAAUUACAAAAAGUCAGCAUGGAUUCACAAAAGCAAGCUUGGGCUUAACAAUCCACUGAUGGGAUUUUUUUUAGGUUGGAUAAUAAAAAAUAUCUGAUAACAGGAA